AGGAUGAACGCUGGCGGCGUGCUUAACACAUGCAAGUCGAACGAACCUUCGGGUUAGUGGCGGACGGGUGAGUAACGCGUGAGAAUCUGCCCUCAGGAGGGGGAUAACGGUUGGAAACGACCGCUAAUACCCCAUAUGCCGCGAGGUGAAAUGAAUUUCGCCUGAGGAUGAGCUCGCGUCUGAUUAGCUAGUUGGUGGGGUAAAGGCUUACCAAGGCAUCGAUCAGUAGCUGGUCUGAGAGGAUGAUCAGCCACACUGGGACUGAGACACGGCCCAGACUCCUACGGGAGGCAGCAGUGGGGAAUUUUCCGCAAUGGGCGAAAGCCUGACGGAGCAACGCCGCGUGAGGGAUGAAGGCCUCUGGGCUGUAAACCUCUUUUAUCAAGGAAGAAGAUCUGACGGUACUUGAUGAAUAAGCCACGGCUAAUUCCGUGCCAGCAGCCGCGGUAAUACGGGAGUGGCAAGCGUUAUCCGGAAUUAUUGGGCGUAAAGCGUCCGCAGGCGGCCCUUCAAGUCUGCUGUUAAAAAGUGGAGCUUAACUCCAUCAUGGCAGUGGAAACUGUUGGGCUUGAGUGUGGUAGGGGCAGAGGGAAUUCCCGGUGUAGCGGUGAAAUGCGUAGAUAUCGGGAAGAACACCAGUGGCGAAGGCGCUCUGCUGGGCCAUCACUGACGCUCAUGGACGAAAGCCAGGGGAGCGAAAGGGAUUAGAUACCCCUGUAGUCCUGGCCGUAAACGAUGAACACUAGGUGUCGGGGGAAUCGACCCCCUCGGUGUCGUAGCCAACGCGUUAAGUGUUCCGCCUGGGGAGUACGCACGCAAGUGUGAAACUCAAAGGAAUUGACGGGGGCCCGCACAAGCGGUGGAGUAUGUGGUUUAAUUCGAUGCAACGCGAAGAACCUUACCAGGGUUUGACAUCCUGCGAAUCUCUUGGAAACGAGAGAGUGCCUUCGGGAACGCAGUGACAGGUGGUGCAUGGCUGUCGUCAGCUCGUGUCGUGAGAUGUUGGGUUAAGUCCCGCAACGAGCGCAACCCACGUCUUUAGUUGCCAGCAUUUAGUUGGGCACUCUAGAGAGACCGCCGGUGAUAAACCGGAGGAAGGUGUGGAUGACGUCAAGUCAUCAUGCCCCUUACAUCCUGGGCUACACACGUACUACAAUGCUACGGACAAAGGGCAGCAAGUUCGCGAGGACAAGCAAAUCCCAUAAACCGUGGCUCAGUUCAGAUCGUAGGCUGCAACUCGCCUACGUGAAGGAGGAAUCGCUAGUAAUCGCAGGUCAGCAUACUGCGGUGAAUACGUUCCCGGGCCUUGUACACACCGCCCGUCACACCAUGGAAGUUGGCCACGCCCGAAGCCGUUACUCCAACCCUCGGGAGGAGGACGUCGAAGGUGGGGCUGAUGACUGGGGUGAAGUCGUAACAAGGUAUCCGUACCGGAAGG
rnacentral:rRNA from 1 species